rnacentral:lncRNA from 1 species
GCUGUGUCUCGGCUAGGUUUUUCUCCUUUCUCGCGCGGCGAUGGAUUCUUCUCUCGAAAGAACACGUGGUGACCGGUUCUCCUUCAGCCUGCGCAACCCUAUGACACUCUCGCCGCUGGGUUCUACGAGGGGUUCAUUGUGUCGCGCUCUGGAAACAGAACAAGCUUACCGGUCACGUGGCGCUUCCCGCUUCUUCUGCAGGCCCAGCGAGGCCCCUAAGGAAGGCCAGGAGAUAUUUGCGGCAUCGUUAGGCCAGGCGACAUUUGCGGCAUCGUUUUCAGGGACAAGAUCCGCGUUUUCAUGGUCUCGGUCCCAACUUCCUUUCGGCUGCUCUCCGAUCUUUUCUUCUUGCCCUCCCUUCUCGUGAGUCUCAGGACGAGAGCAAGGGGGACGGGGACUCACCGAAGACUCCCCGCCUCCGCGUGGGCCCUGUGUCUCGUUACCAAGUGGAGUUGCGUCGCCCCCACGCCUGUCUCCGGCAAAAGAGGCAGAAGAAGGGACAGCUUCAGACAGCGAGGAAGACGCCAGAGAAGAAGAAGCAAGAGUGGACGACGGAGGAGAGGAGGAAAAUCCAGGUUGACUGCCUUCCGAGGAAGCGUGUCCUGGUGUUCUUCCUUUCUGCUUUCCUCGUUCGGGAAAGACCCGUGCGUGAUUUUCUUCAGUAGUGGGAAGCGGAAGAUGGGGAUGGGGACAGAUGACACUUUCUUUCGUGUCUGUCGAAAUAGGCAAAGGAACGGUUCUCGCCGCUUCCGAUCCCUUCUCCCACGAGCAACCCUCCUCUCCGUCGCCAGAUAUGUGGUCAGUCCAGCGCCGCGGCAUGGCAGCCUUCGAGGCAGACGCAGGGAGCGCAGAAGCCGAGACCGAAAAGGAAGAAGGGGAAUGAGUAGGUUUUGCGAGGCCAGUUUCCCCUGGAGGUUUCCUUGUCUUCCCUUGUCGAUGAACUUCAGCCCAGCGGCUGACGGUUGUAUCCUCCAGCGCUGGCGCAGGGGGGGAAGAAGGCAAGAGAGAAGACCGACGAGAAGGGAAAGACGGAGGCGAGUGUGGCGGCGACUCUAUUUUUGAAGACUCUUUUUCAGUGUUGUGUACGGCAUGCGCACUCGAACGCGAAUGGCUCGUCCUUUCGAGAACCAGACUGUUUCCCUGUCUCUCAGGUGGUGUUUGUGUCUCUUCGCGCUCUUGGCCUGUGCGUGGGGCCGGAGGGUAUGAUGAAGCUUCCGCGUCUUCACUGAGAACACCGUACACCCGGGACGGCCUCAGGGGAUAGGGAAACUCCCGUUUCCUCGCUUUUCUUCCGGACACGAAGUGCCAGCAUUCCUCUUUGUGCCCCAAACACGUAACCUUCGAGCAGCCGUUCCUCGUGUCUUCUCGAGACACCGCGAAAGACAAAGACAAGGAGUGAGACAGAGCGCCAGGAGAGCCAGCAGAUGAACCUGUGGACUGCCCUUCUUCGGAGAACCUCGAUACGACUUCCGCUCGUCUGGGACGUGACUCAUCUCCUUGCGUAGGCUGCUCAACGCCGUUUUCCCUCUGCUCUCCAGCCUCCCACAAACUGGGAAACCGAUCCGACGAGGUCUUUUCUCUUCUCCCCUUUCGUCCACGGCCUCGUAGCGCAUGGAAAGGACCUGCGGCGCAAGAGGGAACUCGGCGCCCGUUUGCUGAAGCAGAAAGCUCACCUUUCUGAGCCGCGUUCUUUUCUUCCUCGAGGCUCGGCCUCAGGAAAGAGUAACUGCCUUGUCUCUUUCCGUUCUCUUGUUCUCCCUUCUCGUUGUGGUCUCCCUUCUUCUCGCUUUGUUUUCCCUUCUUGGUGGCGUCUUCUGCAAAACACUUUCCCUCGUUUCUCUCUUUCCCCGUCAGAGGGAGAGGCGGCCAACGCGACGCGUCUCUCGCGCCCAAGGUCUCUUCCCCAGGAAGGGGAAUUCGAUCGGUCCCUGGACUGCUUCUCACCUCUUGAGUUUCGUGCCUUUCUAAGGAUUGCUUUGCUCUCCCACCUUUCGUUGGAUUUUGCGGAAGAAAGACGUCGAGCUGCGCGGCAGACGCACAACCCAGCGCACCUCUCGAUUGAGUGCGCGUCACCUCCGGGAAAAUGCUUUUGUCUGUGUUUUCUUUUCCCGCUCUAACUGCCUCUCCAUGCUGAUCCGCCGCUUCAUUGUGUCCGGACGGGAUCUCCUGUCUUUGCAGCUCCAAAUGCGGUUCGGUGUCGCGUGCAGAGGACGAGCCUGCCGCAGCGCUAUCGGAUUUCUCUCCCUUUUGCGGGUCUCCGAAUUCAGCUUGCUCCGCCGGCUUGUCUGCUUCCGUCCGUGCCUUCUCUCUGCCUUCCUCCAGUCCUCUCGCACCUUGAAGACAUGCGGCGUCGCGGCUUUCCUCCCUCCUGUUCGGUAGAUUUUGUCUCCCAACUCGGCGGCGUGACUUGCUCUGAAGCUCUCCAGAAGGCGCAUCUGUGGUCACCGUUCCCGAUGUAAUCCUGGCA